rnacentral:rRNA from 1 species
AGCGGCGGACGGGUGAGUAACGCGUGGGUAACCUGCCUCAUACAGGGGGAUAACAGUUAGAAAUGACUGCUAAUACCGCAUAAGACCACAGGGCUGCAUGGCUCGGUGGUAAAAACUCCGGUGGUAUGAGAUGGACCCGCGUCUGAUUAGCUGGUUGGUGGGGUAACGGCCUACCAAGGCGACGAUCAGUAGCCGACCUGAGAGGGUGACCGGCCACAUUGGGACUGAGACACGGCCCAAACUCCUACGGGAGGCAGCAG